CGAGGAGGUCCACCCGCCGCAGUCCGCGCGCCACAAAUCACACGGAGAGAGGAGCAAACACACCGCCUCACAGGUGGGAGCGCCCCGAAAUUAUUCAGACAAGAGUUCACAACCAAGUCAGCGAACAAAACGCACGCUUUCCCAUGAGGUUAUAAUAAUAUGCACUGGCUCUCCAUCGCUGCGUCGUUGCUGUGGCAGGUGGCGGAGGAGAUGCGGUGGGAAAUAAGAAAAAGGAGGAGGAGGAGGAGGAAUCGGGCCGAAUCGACGAGCACCGCAUCGAGAGCUACAACGGAACACCCCUCCCGUCAUGCCUUCAAGUGCUCCUCGCAAAGUCGUACAUCACAGUGCUGACGCGCUGGCCUGAAAAGUAGCUUUGUUUGUUGUGUAGAAAUAGGAUUUAUGUGAAUAAUUGUUGUGCAGACUAGAAAUGUUUCAUGAAAAUCCAAAAGGGGUGGAUAUUGGUAAGCGAAUCAGCAGUACAUAGGUCCCCUUUGGAAUUUACAAUAGUGUCAGACAGGGAGGAAUUUACUGUUUGUGUUGAUUUGUGUAUACAACAGAGCCUGUUACACUGGGCGUAUGACAGGCAAAGGUGAGCCAUUUUAUAUAUACAGAUGACUGUAAUCCUCAGUCCAAGUAGUGGUGGUUUGCAGCAGCUCUGUAAUAUAGUGUCCAAUAUGAUAUUAAAUAUGAUGCCAACAAGCAGCUUUAAUGGCUUAAAUUUACAGCAUUCAAAUAUCCAACAAGUGUUGGUCUGUAAAAGGUUUAUAAAUACCUUGGUCAUUUUUAUAACCAAUCAAAUGAAUGAUGACCUGAACAGAAGUAAUCUUAUGCUCAGGCAAAUACAUUGCACGCAAGUUUAGUCUCUGUUCCACUCAAGUGAAAGUGACUGUUUAAAGCAUAUUGCACACCACUGCCUAUCUGUGGUUAAAUUACAAAACAGUCUAGCAGGCAGAGGUUGUAAGCUGCAUACACUGAUGC